CCAGAGAACAUCACAGUCAGAGAUAAGUCACAGGACACUAUAUUAUCUCACUCCCAGGCUGGACUGAUGUCUUUUGAGUUCUGGCGUUCAGGAGAGCCUGUGGGAGCCUUCCAACCGUUUCACCUAGAGUUACAGUAGGACUCUUGGCUUUUGGGACUCAUUCUCUCUCCUAUUUUGCUCGAUUCGUUAGCUUAAUUUCAAUUAUAUUGUAUUAUGUUGUGUUAUCCUGUAUUUCGAUAUAGUACUUAGUAAGUAAGUGUGCCCCCUUAGAUCGUUGCUGCUGUUUUCCUAAUUAACCAUCUUCCUUUUAAGCAGGCUCUGAGACUUCAGAGGAGGAACAGGCCAUGGUAGGCUUGAAAACUCAGAUGAUUGUUUUCCCAGGAAAAAAAAACCAAGUCUGGCAUUUAUGGCAUGAGAACUGGAAGAACCUUAGAACAUUUUCAUCUAGCUACAGUGAUUAUCACAGUUACACUGGGCUUGUAGGGGCUGGAGGAGGAAAAUGAAGCACCGGCUCCAGAAACAGAACACAUUUUCAGUGGUAAAUACUGCAUUGUACAGUAAUGGAUUCAUUUAAUGCACAAUAAGACUCCCGUGAUUGAAAUCACAGGGGACAUCACAGGCAUGUUUGCUUAAAAAGGAAUUAAAUUUAUAGAACAACUUUAGUUUAUGAAGUCUGCAGCCAGAGAGAAUAGCCUGAACAAGCACUCAGCCUCCAAGACACUUCCCGACUUUCAAGGAAUUUUCCUCUCUGUGUGGACACUGAUGCCUUGGCUGCUCCAUGGCAACGUCUGUCAAAACCCAAGACCAUCUCCUGUUUUGAACCUUCAGGAAACAGAUAAGAGUUUCAAUUCCAGCUGAGCAGCAGGCACCUCCAAGGGUUGCUAUAGUCCUGUGGCAAUCUGACUGAGAGAUCCUAAGCCAGAUGAGUUUCAAAGAGAAAAGAUUACUUAAAAUACAUGCUGGGUUGGCUGAUAGAGCAUGCAGAGAAACUGGAACCACCUUUCUAUUUUCUCCCCUUAGAACAUUGCUCUCACAACACCCACGAAAGUCCAAAUGCAUUGUAAGAGCAAAUCAGUCAGACUGUGGUUGAAUGCUUUUAAAUAAAACUGACUAUUAAACUGG